AUUGGAUUCUCAUAGGAGCAUGAACCCUAUUGUGAACGGCACAUGCAAGGGAUCUAGGUUAUGCGCUCCUUAAGAGAAUCUAAUACCUGGUGGUGAUCUGUCACUGUCUCCCAUCACCUCCAGGUGGGACUGUCUAGUUGCAAGAAAACAAGCUCAGGCUCCCACUGAUACUGCAUUAUGCUUCUUUUGAAAUAUCCACAUAGACUGUCCAGCAUUCUGUGUGUUUGGAGUUCAGGAGAGAAUUUUACGUCACAGAUACAGAUCUCAGGAUGAUCCACAUAUGGGUGGAUGCAGCCAUACAUUCAGGUUAAGGUGAGGAAAGAGAAGACCAGCAGAGGUUAUGGAACAGUGGUCCAGAGUGAGACCACCGGCCAGGGCAGGUGACCACCAGAACCAAACUUCAGAGCACGUACGCAUCCCCAGGAAUCCAGAGAUAUGUGGCAGCAGGGACAGCACUGGUGUAAGACUGGAGUGGGGUUCCUGUCAUAUUAAUUUAAAUAUAAAAAGGAAAUAUGAACCCUGUGAUCAGUUUUUAUGAGUGUAUGAAUAUAGGAUACAUAUUUGUAAUCUUAGCCAAUUUCUUAAGUCAAAAGUUAUGUACCAUUAAGUUUAUUUGAUCAUUGGGGUUGAUAAUGAGGCUGGAUCUGAUCUAGUCUGUUCUAUUGAUAUGUCUGACUAUUGCAACACCAGUAAGAAAAAAAUAGGUGGAAUUAUUAUUGCUUUAUCAUAGAUGUAACUGCUUUUAGGGCAAAUACCUAUAUUGCUUGCUUCUUAUUCUCAAAAUUGCCUUGGUAAUUUGGGAGACGGUUUUGCUUACCACAAAUUUUUAAAUGAUUACGUUAUGUUCUAAAAUUUUCUUUAUUAGUAUUUUCAUUAGAAUCAUAAUGAUUUUCUGAUUAAUUUGGGGGUAGAAUUCGCAUAUUAAAAAUGGUAAAUCCUCUAAAUUCACAAAGUUUGUAUUGCACUCAAUUUAUUCUACUCUUUCAACCUUGCCCAGUAAAAAAUUUCAGUUUUCCUCAAAUGCUUUCUACACAUCUUUGGUAACUUAGUCUUAAAUAUUUCAAAUUUUGUCAUUAGGAAUAGAAUUAUUCCUCAUUGGUAGUAGGUGACAAUUGCUAGUAUACAGAAUAUAUGUAGUAUUUUUGUAAUUCAUAAUAUGCCAC
rnacentral:lncRNA from 1 species